rnacentral:rRNA from 1 species
UGAGUACGAGAUGCUACGGCAUCGAAGCAGUCUAUGUCAUACUUCCAAGAAAAGCUUGCACUGUCAGAAACAGAUAAUGCCUGUACCAUAACCGACACAGGUGGGUAGGUAGAGUAUACUAAGGGGCGCGAGAUAACUCUCUCUAAGGAACUCGGCAAAAUGACUCCGUAACUUCGGGAGAAGGAGUGCCUUAUUUUUAAGGUUGCAAUAACAAGAUCCAAGCAACUGUUUACCAAAAACACAGGUCUCCGCUAAGUCGUAAGACGAUGUAUGGGGGCUGACGCCUGCCCAGUGCCAGAAGGUUAAAGAAGUCGGUUAGCAUUCGCGAAGCUGGUAACUGAAGCCCUGGUGAACGGCGGCCGUAACUAUAACGGUCCUAAGGUAGCGAAAUUCCUUGUCGGGUAAGUUCCGACCCGCACGAAAGGCGUAAUGAUUUGGAUACUGUCUCGGAGAGGGGCUCGGUGAAAUAGACUUGUCUGUGAAGAUGCGGACUACCUGCACCUGGACAGAAAGACCCUAUGAAGCUUUACUGUAACUUGAAAUUGAAAUUGGACUUUAUUUGCGCAGUAUAGGUGGGAGGCGUUGAAAAUAUUCUUGCGGGAAUAUUGGAGCCAUCAGUGAGAUACCACUCUCGUAAUGUUAGAUUUCUAACUUUAUAUCAUUAUCUGGUUAAAGAACAGUUUCAGGCGGGCAGUUUGACUGGGGCGGUCGCCUCCCAAAUGGUAACGGAGGCGCACAAAGGUUUCCUCUGAACGGGUAGAAAUCGUAUCUAGAGUGUAAAGGCAUAAGGAAGCUUGACUGCGAGACCUACAAGUCGAGCAGGGACGAAAGUCGGUCUUAGUGAUCUGACGGUGCUGAGUGGAAAGGCUGUCACUCAACGGAUAAAAGUUACUCUAAGGAUAACAGGCUGAUCUCCCCCAAGAGUUCACAUCGACGGGGAGGUUUGGCACCUCGAUGUCGGCUCAUCGCAUCCUGGGGCGGUAGUACGUCCCAAGGGUUGGGCUGUUCGCCCAUGAAAGCGGUACGCGAGCUGGGUUCAGAACGUCGUGAGACAGUUCGGUCCAUAUCCGGUGUAGGCGUUAGAAUAUUGAGAGGAGCCUUCUUUAGUACGAGAGGACCGAGAAGGACAUACCUCUGGUGUACCAGUUAUCGUGCCAACGGUAAACGCUGGGUAGCUAUGUAUGGAGUGGAUAACCGCUGAAAGCAUCUAAGUGGGAAGCCCACCUCAAGAUAAGUA